AAGGCAUUUUUGUUGCUCACUCUCCCUCAAAGGCUUCUAGCAAUGUCAGAAAUGGCGAGCUCGAAGCCUUUGGGGAGAGUAAACAAAAAAUGUCUU
rnacentral:pre_miRNA from 1 species